UCUGGAAGGGAACGAAAUGACAUGGCCGGCGGUUUUAAAUAAGAGUGAGACAGUAAGAAGCGGGAUUCUUUCUCCUUCGUACCUGAAGGCCAAACAAAUGGACUGAAAAAUAAUUGUCCCACGCAGUAGUGGGGCUAAACCGCGUAUUGUACGGGGUGGCCCCCAGUGUGGUUGUUCAGUUGAAUUCACCUUAACCCGCCAUGUUUUCCAGUUGAUAAGCUCUCGUGAUUUAGCUCGUAACGUUGACUCUCUGACACAGUGGUUGUUUUAUUUCCCUUUCGCUUGUAGCUGUGCGCUUUGCGUGGGCCCGUUGUUCUUUCACCUUUUCCCUCACCACCAAAUAACCGGCAAAAACAAACUACAACCAAGGGCAGACAUUGCGCCGUCCAGGUGACCUAACGACGACGGCUCCAUGGAAAUCGAAGAGUCUGCGAUGGAAAGCCGGAAGGAACCUUAUAUCUUUGGCUUCGAGGGAAGACACAGAAUAAAUCCCAGAAGGCCACAGGGAGAACAUGCAAGGAAAUGUGUGACGUCUGCACACCUCUAGCACCUCCUCAAUGCUGUUGCCCAUCCUGAGGACCUCAGUGCCACGGGUGGGGUUGAUCUACAUCGCUCUCUCUGUCUUCACGCGAUCUGGCGUCACGUGCUUUGAUUUUUACGCCAGGAGCAAUACAGGAAAUCACCAGCUACGGCGUGUAACCGGGUCCUCUUCAAACUGCAGUCGCAUCUCGCGGAACAGAAAUCAAGCUCUAAUUUGCACCGUGAUCAGAACAACAAGGACUUUUCAGCAAAGGUCUGUAACAGGAUCUGAUGUACUGCUUAAGCACAGAAGGGAGUCUUGUGUAAAGCAGAAAUAUUAAUGGGAUAUAACAGGCCUCUGCAGUGUGUGCGUACCGAAAACCCACGGCAUGAAUAAAAGUCGCUUCUUUGAACGUACAAUAAUUGGUUAGAGAGGUUGAUUGUUUAUACCUUAAAGCACUGAUAUUCAUCAGUUUGCUAGUGUCCUCUGCUUGGGUGCACACGGGCAACUUUAAAAAAUUCCCCUGUCUACAAAAAUGAUUCAUGGCCGCCAGCCAAAACCACGCCAUGAAUAUUUAUGCGAGCACAAAGUUAUGAUGAGAAAUAUAUUGUUAGGUUCAUCUUAAUCUGUCUCCGAGGCAAUCUAGUGUGACUUGCAGUGACGAUUGAGCAACCAGAUUUAUGCUUAUG